UACGUAGGGGGCAAGCGUUGUCCGGAUUUAUUGGGCGUAAAGAGCGUGUAGGCGGCCUGGUAGGUCAGCUGUGAAAACUCGAGGCUCAACCUCGAGACGCCGGUUGAAACCAUCAGGCUAGAGUCCGGAAGAGGAGAGUGGAAUUCCCGGUGUAGCGGUGAAAUGCACAGAUAUCGGGAAGAACACCCGUGGCUAAGGCGGCUCUCUAGUACGGUACUGACGCUGAGGAGCGAAAGCGUGGGGAGCGAACAGG
rnacentral:rRNA from 1 species